rnacentral:rRNA from 1 species
GAUGAACGCUGGCGGCGUGCCUAAUACAUGCAAGUCGAGCGAACGGGCGAGAAGCUUGCUUUUCUGAUGUUAGCGGCGGACGGGUGAGUAACACGUGGAUAACCUACCUAUAAAACUGGGAUAACUUCGGGAAACCGGAGCUAAUACCGGAUAAUAUUUUGAACCGCAUGGUUCAAAAGUGAAAGACGGUCUUGCUGUCACUUAUAGAUGGAUCCGCGCUGCAUUAGCUAGUUGGUAAGGUAACGGCUUACCAAGGCAACGAUGCAUAGCCGACCUGAGAGGGUGAUCGGCCACACUGGAACUGAGACACGGUCCAGACUCCUACGGGAGGCAGCAGUAGGGAAUCUUCCGCAAUGGGCGAAAGCCUUACGGAGCAACGCCGCGUGAGUGAUGAAGGUCUUCGGAUCGUAAAACUCUGUUAUUAGGGAAGAACAUAUGUGUAAGUAACUGUGCACAUCUUGACGGUACCUAAUCAGAAAGCCACGGCUAACUACGUG